GACGAACGCUGGCGGCGUGCUUAACACAUGCAAGUCGAACGGAAAGGCUCCAUCUUGCUGGAGUACUCGAGUAGCGAACGGGUGAGUAACACGUGGGUAAUCUGCCCUGCACUCUGGGAUAAGCCUGGGAAACUGGGGCUAAUACUGGAUAUGACCUUUCUCCUUAUGGGGUUUGGUGGAAAGUUUUUCGGUUUAGGAUGAGCCCGCGGGCUAUCGGCUUGUUGGUGGGGUGAUGGCAUACCAAGGCGACGGCGGGUAGCCGGCCUGAGCGGGUGGUCGGCCACAUUGGGACUGAGCUACGGCCCAGCCCCCUACGGGAGGCAGCAGAGGGGAAGAUUGUAAAAUGGGAGGAAGCCUGAUCCAGUGACGCCGCGUGAGGGAAGAAGGCCUUCGGGUUGUAAACCUAUGUCCGCAGGAACGAAGAGUAAGUGACGGUACCUGCAGAAGAAGCACCGGCUAACUCUGUG
rnacentral:rRNA from 1 species